AGCAGCAUGGCGCAGUUGGAAGCGCGCGGGGCCCAUAUUUGAUUGUCACCCCGAGGUCACUCGAUCGAAACGAGUUGCUGCUA